rnacentral:rRNA from 1 species
CCUACGGGUGGCAGCAGUGGGGAAUAUUGGGCAAUGGGCGCAAGCCUGACCCAGCGACGCCGCGUGAGGGAAGACGGUCUUCGGAUUGUAAACCUCUUUCAGCAGGGAAGACAAAAGGACGGUACCUGCAGAAGAAGCCACGGCUAACUACGUGCCAGCAGCCGCGGUAAUACGUAGGUGGCAAGCGUUAUCCGGAAUUACUGGGUGUAAAGGGUGUGUAGGCGGGUUUGCAAGUCAGAUGUGAAAAUUAUGGGCUCAACCCAUAACCUGCGUCUGAAACUACAGAUCUUGAGAGUGGGAGAGGUAAACGGAAUUCCCGGUGUAGCAGUGAAAUGCGUAGAUAUUAGGAGGAACGCCGGUGGCGAAGGCGGCUUACUGGACUGUAACUGACGUUGAGGCUCGAAGGCGUGGGGAGCAAACAGGAUUAGAUACCCUUGUAGUC